UAACAUCCAAAGCACCGUGAUUUUGUGAGAUUCCCCCCUAGUCCCAUUACAGCAUUAUUUUGACUGGGAAUUCCUGGACAAUGUGAUCUCUCCUCUCCUUGUCAUCUCUCCAGCUCCUGAGAUGUGACCUGUUACAUGAAGAAGCCAUCAAGUGAGGCAGCAACUGGCUCAGACUCCCACAGCACUGCUGCUGCUUUAGUAGAUGUAUUUGAGCUCCCCAAAGCUGGGUAUGACAGCGGGAAUGAACACACAGAUUUGAAGGAGGAAAAGGCAGCACCUCACAGGCUCCCUGUGCCAAAAGGAAAAGGGACACUGCCCAUCGAGCCCUCCAAGCAGACACCUGACAGUUUGAAAGUAGACAGCGGAGUCCUUGGAGCAGAGGUGCUCUCCUAACAACGCAUGGAGCCGUGACUCGAGUUGUUACCUUCACUGCACAAUGCUUCACGGUCAUAUUUACACAAAGUGCUGGCUGCACUGCCCCAGGCAUCUUGAGAUGUCAGUGGACUGAAUCAAAGCAGUGUAUUUAUUUUGGCAAAACAAGAUAUCACGUACCAAAGAAGAAAAGAGCAUUCCAUCCCUCGCUGUUCCUAUUUGUGAUAAAGCCCCAUCACAUUUUUGCUUGUGUCUAAGCUGAACUAAGUCUUGGGAGGCUAGUUACUUGGUCCUUUGGUUCAUGAGACUGGUCAGAGCACAUCAGGGAACUCAUCCAUCCAUGUCCAAGUCUUCCCAAGGAGAGAAAAUGGAAGAAAGACAAGAGGAGGAGAAGGAAGUGGAGGAGGAAGACUGAUGCUCAGCCUCUCACAGCUCAGAAGCACUUCCAGCUUCUCCAGCUUGCACGCAGUGUGAGACAGCAAGUGGAUCAAGAGGAACAAAAUACACAGGAAACAAAAAGGAGAGGUAAAGAAGGAUGUCUUUCCCAUAGUGGUUAUGAAAGAUCAAACAUCUGAUCAGAAGUCAAAUGGAAGAGUACACAUGACAAAUGCAGUGCAGGCUGUAAUGGUGCCCAGAAUUACAAACCAUGGUAAGCAAACUGCCUGUGAAGGUCCUAGGAAUGUUUUGUGGUCAUUUAACAGAAGAAUGAAGUUUUAUUUGUUCAUUUGAUGUAUGAUGAGUAACAGGCUUUGUACAUCAGACAUUGUGAUUUCUUUUUUCCUAGUACACAGCCAGGCUAGUUGGUAGAAAUUAUGGGAAAAUCUGUAGUCAGAUAAAUUAAAUGCGUUAAUUAAAAUUUCUUCACCCUCUCCUAGGGAAGCAAUGGGAGCCCUCAGUUGGUAUAAUUCCCAUUCCUGAGAGCAAUGCAGAAUGAAUUAAACAUCCCAGAGAUCUGGUACAGAGGUGGAGCUGAACAACAGGAUUUUUCUAUUUUUCUAUUCAAAGUGCAGGUGAAGGUGCCAGGCCACUCCUGAAAGCAAAAGGCUGUUUCUAUUUCUGGAUGCAGGAACUGACUACACAUACUGAAAAUAUGUUAACCUUGCCAAAUUUCAACUCAACAUUCUCACUCUUCAUUCUCACAAGAAGCAAAUCUCUGGCUAUCCAACCCUGAAAGAGCAGUUUAUUUAUUUUUGGAGAGCUUUGCUUUUCUUUCCCAAGAUAAUACUUUCCUAAAAACAGACUUCCAGUUUGUUUCAUAUGUGCAACAACCACUCUUUAAUGAGCAUUUUCAAAGCAUUUCUCGGGAGGAACUAACUUUAUUGGCACUCUAGGACAUUUUUGCACAUAGAAAUUAGUGAAUAUUGCUGUUGUUAACUCUCUGGUUUCACUGAAGAGGAGAAUUUCCAUCCAAAUAUUGGAUUUUAGGAACUCUUAUUUCUAGCUGAGCAUAUAUAAAUACAACAUCUGAGCUCAACAUCACACCUACCUACUGAAACUAUUUCAGCCUUUGUAACUCUAAUCUCUUCAAGAAUAGAAACCUUGGAGAGAUUCAUUAAUUGCUGGCUUUUGAUUAGGUUUAUUUCCAUUAAAAUAAAAAAUUAAAAGGCUUUUUGUUGUUUUUAAA